rnacentral:rRNA from 1 species
UACAGAGGGGGCAAGCGUUGUUCGGAAUUACUGGGCGUAAAGGGCGCGUAGGCGGCCUGUUAAGUCGAACGUGAAAUCCCCGGGCUCAACCCGGGAACUGCGUCCGAUACUGGCAGGCUUGAAUCCGGGAGAGGGAUGCGGAAUUCCAGGUGUAGCGGUGAAAUGCGUAGAUAUCUGGAGGAACACCGGUGGCGAAGGCGGCAUCCUGGACCGGCAUUGACGCUGAGGCGCGAAAGCCAGGGGAGCGAAUGGG